rnacentral:rRNA from 1 species
GAUGCAGCGACGCCGCGUGGGGGAUGACGGCCUUCGGGUUGUAAACCCCUUUCAGUAGGGAAGAAGCGAGAGUGACGGUACCUGCAGAAGAAGCGCCGGCUAACUACGUGCCAGCAGCCGCGGUAAUACGUAGGGCGCAAGCGUUGUCCGGAAUUAUUGGGCGUAAAGAGCUUGUAGGUGGCUUGUCGCGUCUGCCGUGAAAACCCGAGGCUCAACCUCGGGCGUGCGGUGGGUACGGGCAGGCUAGAGUGUGGUAGGGGAGACUGGAACUCCUGGUGUAGCGGUGAAAUGCGCAGAUAUCAGGAAGAACACCGAUGGCGAAGGCAGGUCUCUGGGCCAUUACUGACACUGAGAAGCGAAAGCAUGGGUAGCGAACAGGAUUAGAUACCCUGGUAGUCCAUGCCGUAAACGUUGGGCACUAGGUGUGGGGGACAUUCCACGUUUUCCGCGCCGUAGCUAACGCAUUAAGUGCCCCGCCUGGGGAGUACGGCCGCAAGGCUAAAACUCAAAGGAAUUGACGGGGGCCCGCACAAGCGGCGGAGCAUGCUGAUUAAUUCGAUGCAACGCGAAGAACCUUACCAAGGCUUGACAUGCACUGGACGGCUGCAGAGAUGU